rnacentral:rRNA from 1 species
UACGUAGGGGGCAAGCGUUGUCCGGAUUUAUUGGGCGUAAAGCGCUCGCAGGUGGUUCGUCGCGUCGUGCGUGAAAGACCACGGCUCAACUGGGGGAGGUCGUGCGAUACGGGCGGACUGGAGGCCAGUAGGGGGAUGCGGAAUUCCGGGUGUAGUGGUGGAAUGCGUAGAGAUCCGGAGGAACACCAGCGGCGAAGGCGGCAUCCUGGACUGGUCCUGACACUCAUGAGCGAAAGCGUGGGGAGCGAUCCGG